rnacentral:lncRNA from 1 species
UACUUCCCUCAACAAACUCGAACCGCCCCGAAAAUGCACACUUCAAAGGUAUAAUCCCGAGACGAUCACCCGUGGACCGAAUGCAUGUGUUGUAUGAGAUGCUCGUGUUUGCACCGUGAUUGAAUUGCCGCUUGCGAUGCCCCUCUUUUGCCAUGCCACCGACACGUGGGAACCCGGUAUCCGGGAUCACCCCACCUUCUUUUGCAUGUUCCGUACGUCCACACUUUCUUUUGCAUCGACAUCUCGACGAGUUGUCGGAUCAUCGAAAUGUUGCCAUGGCACCAUUUCCGUUAUCGUUGCCGUGGCACCCCUUUCAUUCCGCCAUGGUGACCAAAUGCUUCAUAAUAUGCUCAUGUCAACAUUUUAUAUUAUGAUCAUGUCCGCAUCUUGAUAAAAACAUUUAAACGCUUAAAAUUGUGCUUGCAUUAAAUUGCUAAAUGACAUGAGGAUUUUCCGGAAUUGUUGUUUGUAACUUCCGGCCUCAUUUAACCUUGCCUAGAUAGGUAGUUUCUUUAUGUUUCACCUCUUGCCAUGUUUAACAACAUUUAAUAUUGUUGUGUACCUAAACGGGAGCGAACUAAAUAACUUGAAUGUGGAGUUUUGUCAAUAUGCAACUCGUUGCAUAUUGAGCUCCAUUUAACUUGUAGUAUUGUUUGUUGCACUUUUCCAUGCCAUGCUCUUUAAACCGGACAUGCAUCAUACUUGUUUGUGCAUCAUGCCAUGUUUAUGCUUGUGCAUUUACCAUGUUGUUUGUUUCUUUUCGGUGUUGCUUCUUAGUUUUGAUAAUGUUGCGAUUGUGAGGAUUCAUUUGACUACUCCCGUUCGUCUUCGUCAUGGACUCGUUCUUCUUCCUUGCGGGAUUUCAGGCAAGAUGACCGCUACCCUGGAUCUCACUACUAUCAUUGCUAUGCUAGUCGCUUCGUUCUAUCGCUAUGCUGCGCUACCUAUCACUUGUUCUUCAAGCCUUCCCAAAUUGCCAUGUUUAGCCUCUAACCUUUUCACCCUUCCUAGCAAACCAUUGCUUGGCUAUGUUACCCCUUUGCUCAGCCCUCUUAUAGCAUUGCUAGUUGCAGGUGAAGUUGAAGAUUGCUCCAUGGUGGACAUUAUUAUGUUGGGAUAUCACAGUAUCUCUUAUUUUAGUUAAUGCAUCUAUAUACUUGGUAAAGGGUGGAAGACUCGGCCUUAUCCCUGGUGUUUUGUUCCACUCUUGCUGCCCUAGUUUCCGUCAUACCAGUGUUAUGUUCCCGGAUUUUGCGUUCCUUACGCGGUUGGGUGAUUUAUGGGACCCCUCUGAUAGUUCGCUUUGAAUAAAACUCCUCCAGCAAGGCCCAACAUUGGUUUUACCAUUUGCCUCACCUAGCCCUUCUUCCCUUGGGUUUCCGGAGCCCGAGGGUCAUCUUUAUUUUAGCCCCCCCCCCCGGGCCAGUGCUCCUUCGAGUGUUGGUCUGAAACGGGCAGACUGCGGGGCCACCUCGGGGCAACUCGAGGGCUGGUUUUACUCGUAGGCUGACCUAUCCGGUGUGCCCUGAGAACGAGAUAUGUGCAGCUCCUAUCGGGAUUUGUCGACACAUCGGGCGGCUUUGCUGGUCUUGUUUUACCAUUGUCGAAAAGUCUUGUAAACCGGGAUUCCGAGUCUGAUCGGGUCUUCCCGGGAGAAGGUAUAUCCUUCAUUGAUCACGAGAGCUUAUCAUGGACUAAGUUGGGACACCCCUGCAGGGUAUAAACUUUCGAAAGCCGUGCCCGCGGUUAUGGGCAGAUAGGAAUUUGUUAAUGUCCGGUUGUAGAUAACUUGACACCAGAUCUGCAUUAAAACGCAUCAACCGCGUGUCUAGCCAUGAUGGUCUCUUCUCGGCGGAGUCCGGGAUGUGAACACGGUUUUGGGUUAUGUUUGACGUAAGUAGGAGUUCAGGAUCACCUCUUGAUCAUUGCUAGCUUCACGACCGUUCCGUUUGUUCUCUUCUCGCUCUUAUUUGCGUAUGUUAGCCACCAUAUCAUGCUUAGUCGCUGCUGCAACCUCACCACUUAUCCUUUCCUUUCCCUUUAAGCUUUGCUAGUCUUGAUACCCAUGGUAAUGGGAUUGCUGAGUCCUCGUGGCUCACAGAUUACUACAACAACAGUUGCAGGUACAGGUUAUGCGAUGAUCAUGACGCGAGAGCGAUGUUUCUUGUUUUGGAGUUCUUCUUCUUCGGCUUCUUCUUCGAACAGGGGAUAGGUUCCAGGUCGGCAGCCUGGGCUAGGAGGGUGGAUGUCGUUUGAGUUUCUGUUUGUGUUUCAUUCGUAGUCGGAUGGUGCUCUUAUGUAAGAUGAUGUUGUAUUCGUGUGGCUUUGUAUGCCUCUUGUAUGUAUCCCCAACUAUUAUGUAAUGGUACGAUGUAAUGAUAUCCACCUUGCAAAAGCGUUUCAAUAUGCGGUUCUAUCCUUGGUGGGACCUUCGAGUCUCUUUAGGAUAGUAUCGCAUAUUGGGCGUGACAAGUUGGUAAUCAGAGCCUCGACCGACCAUAGGAGCCCCCUUGAUUGUUAGCCGUUAUUGAGUCUAGAAGAAAACUAUUUUGAGUCUUAGGAUUAUAUAUAUCGGAGAGUAGGAUUCUUUUUACUCCCCAGCCCCCUUCGUCGCUCUGGUGAGGUCUCCUGACAUAGAUGUUUUGUCUUUCCUCUCCUCAAAUUUCACUAAUUUUUUUAGGAUCACGCGGGUAUCUUGGGAUCGUUUCGAUAGUCUUAUGACGAGAACAUUGUUCUUGGUGCCUCCUGUCUUUUAUGUGGCAGUGACCCAGGGAGUUGAGCUCCGAGGUGUUGUCGUCAUAAUUUUAUCGUUGCAGUUCUGGAAUACCUGAGUUUUGCCGACAUCGAAAAUCUCUUUUAUGCAGUUGUUGGUGAGAUAACCUCGACGCCACCCAGUACUGGGGCGGGAGUUCGGGAGUAUUGCCAUAACUCGUAUAACGGAUGCUUUUCGAAGGUUGAGGUACACGAUUUCCGGAGUUUUCUUGGUUAUGUGUUGAUGGAUGGAUACAGCUGGAUGUAGGGAUUGUUAGUUUGGGUGAGAUAUAUUGCUUCCCCUGUAUCCCCAACACCAGAUUGCAUAACCAGAAAGUUUCGGGAGUUUAUAGGUGGGAAUUCAAGUAGCUCCUAGAAUAUCUUUCUGACAGAUGCAUGAUAUGGGAUUGGGUAAAUCUCUAUCAUAUGUAUUUGUUCCGGCUUAUUCUGCAAGCCAAAUCCUUUGUUUUGUUUUAUUUGUGGUAUUCGAGUUGCUUCAAAGUCAAGUGUUGAUUCCAUACCUUUCAAGCGGUGUUCUCAUAUUUCUAUAGGAGUACUAAUCCUUCUUGAUCACUGAGGUUGUCAUGUCAACUCUGUUCCAACCGGUGUGCUUCUCUUCAAGUGGAUCCGAUCAUUUUCAACAUACGCAAGAUCAAUUCUAAGUUUUCUUCAACGGUAUCCAUUCCAUCUGCCCCAAGUUGCCUUUGUUUUCCCACCCUCCCACCCUUUUCUUCAAGGACUCAGAUUUCUUAAUCAUGUAUCCUUUUAUUUGUGGGAAGUCUCUUCAUUCUUUUCUUUCAAUGUUCUUAUCCGGUGAUUUCCCAUGAAGAUGCUCAACAGUUUCAAGUUCAUCAUCCUUCAUUGUUGUUUCUUCUCCGGUGGAUCCAAUUCAAGCUUUCGAUAUUCAUCAUAUUCCUUUCCUCGUUUCUAAUGCUUUCUCAUGCCGAUGCACCUCUUAAUCAUUCACUUCUUCCUAUUCAUUUGUCCUGGAGUGCUGAAGAUAUUUCACAAGACUUGUGUUUCCAUUCUCAAUCCGUUUAAGAUAUUUCGAGGUUGUAUCUCAUUCAAGUCAUUUAAUUCAACCGGUGCAAUUUCCCUUUCAAGUAAUUUUUUGAAGGUGUAUCUUUUGAGUGGGCCCUAACCCACAGGUCUUUUCCCAGGAUCCUACCUGACUCUUCUAAUUAUUCCGGAGCCAUUCCUAAUUCUUUUCGAGUUUGACGUAAGAAUGAAUUAUCAUAAGUCAUAUGUCCUUCUCCAAGAUCUUUCAAAUUCUUUCAUCGUUGGUUCAACCUUUCUAAUUUUCAUCCCGGAGUAUCUCAACAAUUCAUGGUGGUGUUUCUUGUAGUCAUUCUCAAAUUUUGAAGACCGAAGAAGAGUUCCUCUUAAAUCCUUACCCGUUCUUCCAGAGAUUCAUGGUUCUAGCUUUACACCAUCCUCUCAUAAUUGCUUUCAAUUGUGAGAAUUCUUUUCACCUAUCCGGAGCAUUUCAUGAGUUGUUUCCAUUUCUUUCCUCCGAAGGCCAUCAUGUCAUAAUUCUUCAUUCUCAGCCUUCAGCUCUUGUUCUCCAAAUCUUACCGGUGAAUCAUUCAAAUAUCCUCUAAUCAGUUCAUGAUCUCCUCGUUCUCAUGCAUCUAAAUCCCCUCAAGCAUAAUUGUUCUUCUAAUUCUUACCGGUGAUGCAUUCUCUUUCAUCAGUCAUUUUCGAAUUCUUACGGUGGUUCCUUCAGAUUCCUUUUUCCUUGAUUAUCAUAUUAAUCAUUUCGUUCUUUUGAAUCCUACCAGUGGUUCAUGAAGACUUUCCCAAGUUUUGUGUUAUACCCCCCUUAAUCUUUUUCAAGAAGAAUAAGUAGUAUGCAAAAUCCAUUGUUGUCAUCAAUUUAAAUUGGUGAAGGAUACGCAUAACGUAAUUCUUAUCAUCAUUUCAUCCAAGUGAUCUAGUUUCUUAUUUCCAGAGUUGUUCAUCAUGUCAUUUUUCUUGAUUUGAGAUGCUUCAUCUUUUCUUUUACGGAGUUCCAAGUUUUCUCGGGUAUAUCAUCGCGAAGCUCCAUCUAAAUCAUUGCAAGGAUUCACCUUCUGUUUUCAACUUAUCUUUCUUUCUAUCAUCCUUUUAUUACUGGAGUUCUUCAUUGAGGCUCUACAUGGUGGUUCAUCAAGGGUUCUCUUCAUUCUUCAAUUGUUCUUCAAGGCUUCUCUCGAGGUGAUGAUCCACCAAGCUAUACUCAAAAUUAAACAUGGUGCUCAACACAUGUUUUGUGUUAACGCGUUCAAGUAUUCUUCUUCUUGCAUUUCGAAGUGCAAUUCCUUCUACAAUAUCUUUUGAGGUGGUGUUAUGUCACUCUUGACAAUUUCCCUUCGUGAUUCAAGUUGUCAAGAAUGAGAUAUUUUAAAUCCAUCAUUUUCUCUUCAUUCAGGAGAUCGUUUCAACCUAUUAAUCCCUCCAUUGGAGUUAUCUUGUGUCAUAUUUCACCUAAAGCCUUCCCGAAGGAAUGUUGCUAAUUGUGGUGCUUAUCAAUGACCCAAGUUCUCCAAUGAUCCUCUUGGUGAAAGAAGUUUCUCUUAUCUUCAUUGAUCUAAACCAAUCAAUUGUUUAUAUUAGUGGCGGGUUGUCACCUCAUCAUUUUGAGAUGUUUGCCAUAAGCCCAUAAUAAGCUUGUGCUUUUCAUUGAUGAUUUCCCAACAACUCCGUUCAAUUCUUCUUUGCAACGAUGCUUUUCAAGCUCAUUUGUGGCAGAAGUUGGCAUUUUCUUCUCCAUUCUGUUAUUCCAAUGAUAUAGCUUCUAUUCUUUCUUCUGAAGGCAUUGUGAUGUUGUUCCCUUCACUCAUCAUCUUGUUUUGUCAAGAUCAUGUUCUUUUCCAUGCUUAUCCACUUAACCGGAGUGUUGUGUCUAUCAUUCCUCUUUUAACCGGAGUCUCAUCCAAGUGCUUUCAUUUUGCCAAGUUCAAAUUAUAUCCUUCCAUGUCCAACCGGAGUGUUGUAUCAUCUUUUCAAUAUCUUUUCAGCUUAUCAAGUUUUCUUCUUUUUUCUACCGGAGUGCUGCCCGAAUUCUUCCUCUCUCAUCUUGUUUUAACCGGAGUGGUUUCGAAUUCUAUCUUGUCCAUUAAACUCUUGAUUCAUGUCUUUGCAACCUUCAAGUUCUCGCAAUGUUCCUUGUUCCUCUUUUCUAACAGAUUGUUUGCAAUCUCGUUCAUCUCUCUUGUACUCUUUCUUUUAAAUUGCUCAACCUCUCAAGGUUCGUGGUUCACUCUUUUGUCGAAGAAGCAACUUAGUUUUACCUCUUCUCUUCCUCUUCCGUUUCUCUCCGAUGCCAUCCUAGAUCUCGGGACGAGAUCCUCUCGUGGUGGUGGAGUGUUGUAACGCCCCCGAUACAACUUUUUCCAUAUUUGUAACUCCAACUCCUGCCAUUUCCGGCUAUGUGAUAUGUUAUUUUCUCAGUGGUUGGUUUUUGUCUUUGUUUUGCAUUUUGUUCAUGUCAUGCAUCUCAUCUCUUUGCAUCAUUUGCAUUGCAUCAUGUCAUCAUGCAACCCUUUUAAAACUCAUCUAAACAAAAUUGUAUGGAUCUUCGAUCCAUUUAAAUCAAGGGAAAUGCACAUGGUGAUUUCUCUUUAUAACAUAUAUCCUCCCAAUAUUAUUAGGGAGCUAUAAACCUAAUAUUCCAUUGUUUUGGAAUUAACCAUAUCACACUUGCAAGCGAAUCACACGCCUUUCUAUCUAAACCCUUGGCCUCAACUUUUCCCAUAAUUUUCUUCAUCACUUUUCCAAUCUCCACCAAAAUUCUCAACAUUUUUGGACUCUUCCAAAAUGUUAUCCUAGUCCCUACCACUCGAAUUAAAUUCAAAUGGUUUUGGAUUUAAAUCUUUCAAUCAUGACUCUUUUAUUUUCGUGGAUCGAGCUCAUUUUUGCGAGUUCGGGAAAAUAAUCCCCAUGCCCAAACUCUUCCCCUAGCCUUUCUUUUCUUCUCCUUUUCUUUUUCUGCUAAGAGUUUAGAGAGAGAGACUUGCAGCCAGCCCACCAGUCCGCAGCUCGGCCUAGCCCAGCAGCCAAGCCGGCCUGCUUCCCCGCAACCCAUUUGGCCCAAGGCCUAGCUGCAGCCUAUCUAACCCAACCCUAGCCUCAUCCCGGUCGAUCCCCUCCUCCUCCUCGUUCCCACGCGCGCCGACAUCCAUCUCCUUGUUCGAUCCCCAUCUCCCUUCGAUCUCCUCCCUCGCGCCCCUUCCUCCUCUGCCUCGUCCCCAACCCCUGGAGGUCUCCUCCCGUGCCUCUCAAUCCCACCGCGCCGGCCUGCGACCGCCGUUGACGACGAGCUCCACCAGGAGCCCAGAGUCCCCUGCCCCUCUACACGAGCGCCCGUGCGCGCUAGCACCCACGCCGCUCCUCCCCAUCAUUUUGGUCGGAGCUCGCCGUGCCUGAUCCCCAUGGACGCUGCUGCCGCAACCGUCGCUCGACUCCACCACACGCGUGCCUCGCGCCGGGCCUCCUCUCUCCAGCGCCGCCCUCCAUCUUCCUCCAUCUUCCCCGGCGCCCUAUGCCUCUUCUCCGCCUCCUUGUUCGUCUCCCAGCAUGCACACGCCUGCAACUAUGGCACUCAUGCCCGACUGCAGCAGCAUCAGGACGUCGUCGCUGUCCGCCUUGUCUUCUCCUCCCGGGAUCCUUCUCCCGUGGCCACACACAUCACAUGCGACACCUCAGUCGCGGAUGCACCCUGGUGCAUCGUUGCCGGCAACCUCCUGCUUCGUGCCACCUCUCCUGUGACGCGCACGUCGCCACUUGCCUUUGGCCGCCACCGAGACCCUCAAGUCCUACCCAGAGCCCAAGUGUGAAGACUCCAUGGAUGUGCAUCUCACUUGUGCCACUUUGGAUCACCAAGACCAUCAAGAAUCGAGACUGCUCGGGACCAUGUCGUCUCGCCGAAAGGUCAAGACCGUUACGAGAUUCACCAAGUACCACUACGACCUGUGUAAAACUACCUUCGCGAAGACCGGACCGACAAGUACCCCGACAACGUGUGUACCACUACCGUCGACCUCGAAGACCCCGUGGAUGUCAAGUUCCUCGCCAUGACCCCGAACAUCUACCAUCUACGAAACAUGAACCACUACUUCCUCUACAUUGCGAGAACGUCUACUUCCCUCAACAAACUCGAACCGCCCCGAAAAUGCAUGCUUCUAUAGUAUAAUCCCGAGACGAUCACCCUGUGGACCGAAUGCAUGUGUUGUAUGAGAUGCUCGUGUUUGCACCGUGAUCGAAUUGCCGCUUGCGAUGCCCCUCUUUUGCCAUGCCACCGACACGUGGGAACCCGGUAUCUGGGAUCACCCCACCUUCUUUUGCAUGUUCCGUACGUCCACACUUUCUUUUGCACCGACAUCUCGACGAGUUGUCGGAUCAUCGAAAUGUUGCCGUGGCACCAUUUCCGUUGUCGUUGCCGUGGCACCCCUUUCGUUCCGCCAUGGUGACCAAAUGCUUCAUAAUAUGCUCAUGUCAGCAUUUUAUAAAAUUGCAUAUAACUUGUUUAUGUCAUCCGCAUCUUGAUAACAACAUUUAAACGCUUAAAAUUGUUCUUGCAUUAAAUUACUAAAUGACAUGAGGAUUUUCCAGAAUUGUUGUUUGUAACUUCCGGCCUCAUUUAAACUUGCCUAGAUAGGUAGUUUCUUUAGGUUUCACCUCUUGCCAUGUUUAACAACAUUUCAUAUUGUUGUGU